AUUGAACGCUGGCGGCAGGCCUAACACAUGCAAGUCGAACGGUAACAGGAAGCAGCUUGCUGCUUCGCUGACGAGUGGCGGACGGGUGAGUAAUGUCUGGGAAGCUACCUGAUGGAGGGGGAUAACUACUGGAAACGGUAGCUAAUACCGCAUAAUGUCGCAAGACCAAAGAGGGGGACCUUCGGGCCUCUUGCCAUCGGAUGUGCCCAGAUGGGAUUAUCUUGUUGGUGGGGUAACGGCUCACCAAGGCGACGAUCCCUAGCUGGUCUGAGAGGAUGACCAGCCACACUGGAACUGAGACACGGUCCAGACUCCUACGGGAGGCAGCAGUGGGGAAUAUUGCACAAUGGGCGCAAGCCUGAUGCAGCCAUGCCGCGUGUAUGAAGAAGGCCUUCGGGUUGUAAAGUACUUUCAGCGGGGAGGAAGGGAGUAAAGUUAAUACCUUUGCUCAUUGACGUUACCCGCAGAAGAAGCACCGGCUAACUCCGUG
rnacentral:rRNA from 1 species